UACGUAGGGGGCAAGCGUUGUCCGGAUUUAUUGGGCGUAAAGAGCGUGUAGGCGGCCAAGCAGGUCCGCUGUGAAAACUCGAGGCUCAACCUCGAGACGUCGGUGGAAACCGUUUGGCUAGAGUCCGGAAGAGGAGAGUGGAAUUCCCGGUGUAGCGGUGAAAUGCGCAGAUAUCAGGAAGAACACCCGUGGCGAAGGCGGCUCUCUGGGACGGCACUGACGCUGAGACGCGAAAGCGUGGGGAGCGAACAGG
rnacentral:rRNA from 1 species